GGUGUGCGCAUGCGCAGCGCUCUCCUCACAGCCCAGGUCCUGUCAGGGCGGCAGCGAUCACCUCCCGGUCCCGGGCUCCCACCACCACCAUCCCCGAUUAAUCCGCUCACAAGGGGUCCGAAUUGGCACCCUUGGCUCCUUUGAUGUGGUCCCCGCAUGGAUCCGGGUUGGGGACGAGGUGGUGAUUAUCCAGAGGCCCGUGUUUCGGCUGGCAAGGGAACCUCGUGGUUGUCCACAACCUCAGGGACAACAAGGACUACCUGCCUGACAAUAAGGAGCUGGAGGCCCUCAAAUACGCCAAGGUGGCCGAUGCCGCCUCGGUGUCCCGGCAGAAGGUGGAGAACUGUGUCCAAGGCACCAUGUCCCUCCUCUCUUACUGCCUGUGGAAGGGGGAGAACGUCGCCCUUUUCCUGAAGGACGUGGGGGUGCUCCUCAUCGAAGGCAUGAGGGUACAAAUGAAGUAGUACUGUGAAUUCCUGGAGAAGACCUCUGGGAAGAAAAGUUUGGAGAAAGCUGUUUUUAAGGUCCCUUGGCUGCUGGACAUGGUGGUGUCCCCGCUGGUGCCCGUGGCCUCGCUGACGUUUUCUGGCCGCAUCAUCAUCAUCCUCUUUCCCGAGUGAGUACGUUGGCGGCCGUAGCCGCUGUUUGAUGCUCGUUCUGGAGAGUCUAAAGCCUUAAUUUGGAGUCUAAAAUCUCAUGUUAGGGUCCAAAACCUCAUUUUGUGGUCCAAAGCCUCAUUUUGGGGGGUCCAAACCUGUCCUUCUAGAUCAGUCACUCGUGAAUGGAGAAGGUCUCAUAGGAGAAGUAGCAAUUGGUGGCCAUCUUGACCAUAGUGACCGCAAAGCGGUAGAAUUUAAAAUCUUUGGCGAUAGGAGGAAAACUGCCACCAAAACUUCAACCCUGGCUACGGGGAGAGCAGACUUCAGGCUGCUUGGGGAACUAGUCAGUCAGGUCCUCUGGGAAACAUCUCUUGAUGGCAUCGGGGUCCAUCAGUGGUGGUCACUUUUUAAGGGCCACCUCCUAAGAGCUGAGGAACGGGCGAUUCCAAAAUGCCGCAAGUCAAGCAGGCGGGGCAGAAGGCCGGCUUGGCUGAACAAGGAUCUUCUUCUAGAGCUUAGGUGGAAGAAGAAAGCGUACGGCCGCUGGACGCAGGGUCAGGCGACGUGGGAGGACUACAGGGACGCUGGCUCGCCUUCGUAGGGAGAAAAUUCGUGCGGCCAAAGCUCAGAGUUGAAGCUGGCCAGGACUGUGGGGGACAAUUAAAAGGGCUUUUUAAAAUAUGUUAAUAACAAAAGGAGGAGCGGAGAGAAUAUCGGCUCGUUACUCGACGAGAACGGUCACCUGACAAACAGGGACGUAGACAAAGCAGAGACGUUUGAUGCCUUCUUCACCUCUGUCUUCAACGCUGAUGACGGGCUCUGGGACCCCAGAUGCCCCGAGUUGGGGGACCGUGACUGCAGUAACGAUAAACUCCCAGCUGACCCUGAAAUCGUGCGGGACUUGCUGCUCCACCCGGAUGCGUACAAGUCCAUGGGAUCUGAUGGGAUUCAUCCCAGGGUGCUCAGGGAGCUGGCUGAUGUCAUCGCGACACUUCUCUCAAUUAUUUUUCCAACGGUCUCGGGAAUCUGGCGAGGUCCCGGUUGACUGGAAGCUGGCAGACGUCGUUCCAAUCUUCAAGAAGGGCAAGAACGAAGACCCCCGUCAGUCUCACUUCAGUGCCCGGUAAAAUCAGGGAGGAAAUUACGCUGGGAGUUACCGAAAAACACCCGAAGGACGACGCAGUCGCUGGUCACAGCCAACACGGGGUCGUGAGGGGAAGGGCCUAACAAACUUUGUUUCCUUGUACGAUGAGGUCACCCGUCUGGUUGACCAAGGCAAGCCAGCUGAUGUCAUUUCUUUUAUUUUUUUUUAUUUUUUUUUUUAGAUUUCAAUAAAGCUUUCCAUAACCGUC